rnacentral:rRNA from 1 species
AACGCUAUCGGUAUGCUUAACACAUGCAAGUCGAACGGACUAAUUGGGGCUUGCUCCAAUUAGUUAGUGGCAGACGGGUGAGUAACACGUGGGAAUCUACCCAUCAGUACGGAAUAACUUUUAGAAAUAAAAGCUAAUACCGUAUAUUCUCUACGGAGGAAAGAUUUAUCGCUGAUGGAUGAGCCCGCGUCAGAUUAGGUAGUUGGUGAAGUAAUGGCUCACCAAGCCGACGAUCUGUAGCUGGUCUGAGAGGAUGAUCAGCCACACUGGGACUGAGACACGGCCCAGACUCCUACGGGAGGCAGCAGUGGGGAAUAUUGGACAAUGGGCGAAAGCCUGAUCCAGCAAUACCGAGUGAGUGAUGAAGGCCUUAGGGUUGUAAAGCUCUUU